rnacentral:rRNA from 1 species
CGGUAAUUCCUGCUCCAAUAGCGUAUACUAAAGUUGUUGCAGUUAAAAAGCUCGUAGUUGGGUUUCUGUGGGGACGGAGCGGCCGGUCGCAACUUGCGACUCGAGCUAGCGCUUUCCCCGUAUCCUGCUGUGAACCGUGCUAUUAUUAGUUUGGUGGCGCUGGGGAUCGGCUCGAUUACUUUGAGAAAAAUAGAGUGUUCAAAGCAGGCCACACGCCUUGAAUAAGUUAGCAUGGAAUAAUGACUAAGGACUUUGGUUCUUUUCGUUGGUGUUCGGGACUGAAGUAAUGAUUGAUAGGGACAGUUGGGGCGGUCCGUAUUCCAAAGCGAGAGGUGAAAUUCUUAGACCUUCGGAAGACGAACAGCUGCGAAAGCGUUUCGCAAGGAUGUUCUCUUUGAUCAAGAACGAAAGUUGGGGAUCGAAGACGAUCAGAUACCGUCGUAGUCUCAACUAUAAACUAUACCAGCUAGGGAUCGGCCAACGUUUAAUUAUUCGACUUGGUCGGCACCUUAUGAGAAAUCAAAGCAUCUGGGUUCCGGGGGGAGUAUGGUCGCAAGGCUGAAACUUAAAGGAAUUGACGGAAGGGCACCACUAGCCGUGGAGCCUGUGGCUUAAUUUGACUCAACACGGGAAAACUUACCAGGUCCGGACAUAGUAAGGAUUGACAGAUUGAUAGCUCUUUCUUGAUUCUGUGGGUGGUGGUGCAUGGCCGUUUUUAGUCGGUGGAUGUGAUCUGUCUGCUUAAUUGCGUUAACGGACGAGACCCCAGCCUGCUAAAUAGCACGGCCGAGCUUUGCUCGGUGCGAGCUUCUUAGAGGGACCAUGAUGCGCGAUAGCACAAGGAAGUUUGGGGCAACAACAGGUCUGUGAUGCCCUUAGAUGUUCUGGGCCGCACACGGGCUACACUGGCGCCUGCAACGAGCAUAUCAGCUGGCCCGAGAGGGUCUUGGCUAAUCUUUGGAACCGGCGCCGUGCUUGGGAUUGACCAUUGCAAUUGUUGGUCAUGCAACGAGGAAUGCCUUGUAAACGCGAGUCAUCAGCUCGCAUUGAAUACGUCCCUGUUUUUUGUACACACCGCCCGUCGCUCCUACCGAUGAAUGUUCCGAUGAAAUUUUCGGAGAGCGCCGGAGAACGGGGCUCCGCCCUGCAGAACUGGAGGCUCAAAGUCACUUAAAUCUGAACAUUUCGAGGAAGGAGAAGUCGUAACAAGGUAACC